GUUCAAACAGACUGAGUAGAUUAUUUCUCGGUUAGAGCAGGAUGAAUAUUCUUUAUUGAAGGAAAUAAUAUUGCUUUUUGCAAAUACACAUCACCGUAUCAACGCUACUAUUUUGUUACGUUUUGUUCCAAAAAUGUUGCAUGUCUCUGGGGAGUUGCUUAAUUGUUAUGUCUUAUGGAGUUGUAUGGUUUGAUUGUGUUUCCAUAUAAUUCUCAGUUUACUCCAUGAACUUGCCAAGAUUAAGAAACGGCAAAAGAGUUUGGGUGUUCUUAACAAGAUUUCAGAACGUUGCAGAAGUUAGAAGAGCUUCACAAUUCCGUUGUGACAGCAUGCCCUAAUUCAGAACUACGAACGAUCCAAUGACGAUCCUUCGCGAUGCAGUGGUCUCAUGAAAUAAGGAAACGUAUUCGUGCUAGG